rnacentral:misc_RNA from 1 species
UAUGGAGAAUUGAUAAGCGCUGCUUAUCAAUAUAAGUUUCCGUGUUUCGUUUUGUUCAGUUUUGAGAGAACUAUCUCUCAUAUAUAAAUGUAUGUUCUUUGAAAACUAGAUAACAGUGUAGCUCAUAUUUUUUAAUUUUUAGUUUGGUUAAGUUAGAA